rnacentral:rRNA from 1 species
UACGAAGGGGGCUAGCGUUGUUCGGAAUCACUGGGCGUAAAGGGCGCGUAGGCGGCUUUGUAAGUCGGGGGUGAAAGCCUGUGGCUCAACCACAGAAUUGCCUUCGAUACUGCAUGGCUUGAGACCGGAAGAGGUAAGUGGAACUGCGAGUGUAGAGGUGAAAUUCGUAGAUAUUCGCAAGAACACCAGUGGCGAAGGCGGCUUACUGGUCCGGUUCGUGACGCUGAG